GACGAACGCUGGCGGCGUGCUUAACACAUGCAAGUCGAACGGUGAAGCGCCUUCCUUUUUGGUGGGUGUGGAUGAGUGGCGAACGGGUGAGUAACACGUGAGUAACCUGCCCCCUUCUUCUGGAUAACCGCAUGAAAGUGUGGCUAAUACGGGAUAUUCUGGGUCUGUCGCAUGAUGGGUCUGGGAAAGAUAUUGUUUCGGUGGGGGAUGGGCUCGCGGCCUAUCAGCUUGUUGGUGGGGUGAUGGCCUACCAAGGCGGUGACGGGUAGCCGGCCUGAGAGGGUGGACGGUCACACUGGGACUGAGACACGGCGCAGACUCCUACGGGAGGCAGCAGUGGGGAAUAUUGCACAAUGGGCGCAAGCCUGAUGCAGCGACGCCGCGUGAGGGAUGGAGGCCUUCGGGUUGUGAACCUCUUUCGCCAGUGAAGCAGGCCUGCCUUGUUUGUGGGUGGGUUGACGGUAGCUGGAUAAGAAGCGCCGGCUAACUACGUG
rnacentral:rRNA from 1 species